AGUCGUCAGAUCUCGGUCAAAUUUAAAUGGGAACACAAGACAAUCAUGAGCUAUCGAUUAAAACAGAUAUCAUCAAAAUCAGUACACUCAGUGAAAAGCUAUGCGAUACAAUAUAACGUAGGUCGA